rnacentral:rRNA from 1 species
AUGCAGAGGCGGAGGCCGGGAUUCCACCAUGUUGAAGAGACAGAGAACAAUGUAGUGCGCAGCUUGUUCUGGACAGACUCCUUGUGUAAGAUGAAUUAUGAUCUAUAUGGAGAUUUCGUGUCUUUUGACACGACAUUCUCAACGAAUAUAUAUGGCUUGCCAUUUGCACCAAUUAUAGGUGUCGACAACCACGGGUCGACCGUCCUGUUUGGAGUAGGCCUUUUGAAGGAUGAGAAAAUAGGGUCAUUCAAGUGGCUCCUAAGCACGUUUGUCGAGGCAAUGGGAGGUCAAGAGCCGAAAUACAUAAUAACAGACCAGGACCAGGCGAUGAAGACUGCAAUAAAGGAAGCUCUUCCGAGAACGAGGCACAGGAUUUGCUGGUGGCAUAUUAGGAAGAACCUGAAGGAA